AGCUUUGUGCAGUGGCAGUAUCGUAGCCAAUGAGGUUUAUCCGAGGCACGAUUAUUGCUAAUUGACUCCUGUGUACACUGGUUCUUGUGUGUCAGAUGUUGUGUUUUUAAAGUCUGAAGAAAUCAAGUGAGGCUUGGAUGUUAUCUUUUUCAGGGAUAAUUUUACAUUUCUGUCAGUGGUUUUCAGC
rnacentral:snRNA from 1 species